rfam:Helianthus annuus unplaced genomic scaffold HanXRQChr00c0196, whole genome shotgun sequence.
GCCGCUAUGGUGAAUCGGUAGACACGCUGCUCUUAGGAAGCAGUGCUAGAGCAUCUCGGUUCGAGUCCGAGUGGCGGCA